UACGGAGGGUGCAAGCGUUAUCCGGAUUCACUGGGUUUAAAGGGUGCGUAGGCGGUUAGGUAAGUCAGUGGUGAAAUCUCCGAGCUUAACUCGGAAACUGCCGUUGAUACUAUUUGUCUUGAAUACUGUGGAGGUAAGCGGAAUAUGUCAUGUAGCGGUGAAAUGCUUAGAUAUGACAUAGAACACCAAUUGCGAAGGCAGCUUACUACGCAGUUAUUGACGCUGAGGCACGAAAGCGUGGGGAUCAAACAGG
rnacentral:rRNA from 1 species